UCCUCAAUAGCUCCAACGGCAGAGCGCUUCUCUCGUAAAGAAGAGGCUGCGUGUUCGAAUCACGCUUGAGGAA